rnacentral:ncRNA from 1 species
UUUUGUUCUAUAUCAAACUGUGGGUGAAAAGGGAAGCAGGUGCAAAUCCUGCACGAACUCGUCACCGUGAUUCGAAAGUUUAUGACUUCUUGAAUGAAAUUACAGAAAUCCGCACUGGUUGCGGAUUUCGUGAGAAAGUGAUUCAAGAGUCAACCAAGCCUCAUCGACAAAGUCGAUUCUAAUUGGCUUGGUUGAUACAUUCUUGAACAUCAUGUUCAAGAAUGUAUACCAAUCGAUCAGCCGGGAGACCUGCCUGUCGCU